rnacentral:misc_RNA from 1 species
AUGUCUGCUAGAGCUCUAAUGCCUCCUCCUCGGCCUUCUAGCAACUCUCUUUCAAAUUCAGUGCAUGCUCAAUUGAGGUUUGGGGCAUCAUCAAGCAAAAAUUCAUGGAUGGAGAGGUCUGAAAUUUCUACAUCCAGCAAUACAUCAAGUAGCAGAAGUGGAUCUUCUUCUAAGGCGGGGGGGUCUUCAAAUACAAGGACAGGUCAUAGUAGUAAUCUAAGUUCUAAUUCUGAUGCUCACAAGCCCCGAAGGAAGAGGAGGCCAAAGAAGAAAAAGCAACAGGCAUGAAUUGGAUGAACUCAACAUUUAUUUAACUUCACCAUAACCGAUUGAAGUCUAUUAUCAUAAGACAAUAAUGAAAUAUUUAUGGUUCUGUUUUAACCAUCAAACAUUUUUCAUUUUUUGUGGGUAGAUAGUCAGAAGUCUGUACCUAUUGCUCUCUGGAACUAUCAUUUCAACAAAUCCCUACAAAGGUGCUAGGUUUAUGUGAGAAUUCUUUCAACAGUUGCUUGUAUAAAGUCUUUCUCAUUAGCAAAAAAAAAAAAUGUUUGAUGGUUAAAACAG